rnacentral:lncRNA from 1 species
UCAUUUCUUCAUACAACAAUUUGUAAGUGAAGAAUCAUGGCACAUAAAGUGUCCAUGCCUUUGUGCUUUCUUCUAAAGUUCCUUGUUCAUGUAACAAAGAAACAAGCACUAAUGUUUGCAUUGAUUAAGGGUUGUUCAAAGCAACUCUUAUUUCUUCAUACAACAUUUUGUAAUUGAAGAAUUAUGACAUUAAAAGUGUUGUCCUCUUUAUGAUAGACUUUAUCUAACAUAUUCUUCUAAUGAUACUUUAUCAAUAGGAAGAUUGUGAGGAUGAGACUACUUAGGUACAUUUACAAGCCAUUAAAG